UCUGGUUGAUCCUGCCAGUAGUCAUAUGCUUGUCUCAGAGAUUUAGCCAUGCAUGUCUAAGUACAUACCUUUAAACGGUGAAACCGCGAAUGGCUCAUUAAAUCAGCUAUGGUUCCUUAGAUCGUACCUGCUACAUGGAUAACUGUAGUAAUUCUAGAGCUAAUACAUGCCACGAUGCCCUGACCUUUCGGGGAAUGGGUGCAUUUAUUAGAACAGAACCAACCAGGUGCAUUCCUCUGGUUUGCGCCUGUCACCUUCUGUGAUGACUCUGGAUAACUUUGCUGAUCGCAGUCGGCCUUGUGUCGGCGACGAAUCUUUCAAAUGUCUGCCCUAUCAAUUGUCGAUGGUUAGUGACUUGCUCACCAUGGUGAUAACGGGUAACGGGGAAUCAGGGUUCGAUUCCGGAGAAGGAGCCUGAGAAACGGCUACUAUUUCUAAGGAAGGCAGCAGGCGCGCAACUUACCCAAUCCCGGCACGGGGAGGUAGUGACGAAAAAUACGGAUGCAGGACUCGUAUGAGGCUCUGCAAUUCGAAUGAGUACAAUUCAAAUCCUUUAACGAGGAGCAACUGGAGGGCAAGUCUGGUGCCAGCAGCCGCGGUAAACUGCCAACGCCCAGAACCCGCCUCCCCACCGCAGCCUAUACCCUAUGGAGGAGACUCCAGACUGAGAUUGAGUUGAAAAUAGUCCCUGUCAAUCCUCUAAGCUUCCAUUGUGGAUUCUGAGGGUUCAGGAUAAGCUUGAGUACGCUCGCCCAACAUUCUCGAAUGACCGUCGACCCAACUGUCAUGCCCUUGACGCCUGAGCUAAUUACUCUGUAAUCAGCAAAGGAUCGGGACUUUGCAAAGGGUCGACUGGGGAAGAUGAAAGUUAACGCUUUCAUUUACCCCUCGCUAGUCCGAUUCCACUGUUACAGUGUAGAGUCGGCAAUGCAGAAACUUGUGGAUUUGUUUGCCGAUGGCUAAACCCAACGUAAAACUCUGAAACAUUCGAAGACACGCCACGAUUAGGUGUCGAGUUCAGCUCGACAGACCAGUCGUUGGUAGUCUUCUCAAAGGUUCAUGAAUUCAGUCUUCUCUCGUAAUUGCUACGAGGGUCAAGUCUGGACGAUUGCAACCAGAGCAACGCAAUGUCGGCAUUAAGGAAAUCUUAC
rnacentral:rRNA from 1 species